AUGACAGUUUUCAGGAGCAGAAUCUAUUUAUUGAGAGAAAGAAAGCUUCUGUCCUGAGGGAGGGACAGAAGGGGCCCCAAGUAGGUUGCCAAGGACUCUGCCUUUUCUAGGGAUUUUUAUAGAGCAAAUCCACAAGGUGAGGCGGGUCCAAAGUGGGAAACAUGGGGACU